AUGUUCAACUUCACUACAUCAACUGGCUCCUUAAAAACCCAUCCAUGCUGAUGAGUCAUCACUCUACCCAACAGUGUCUCACACUGUUUCAUCACCAUCAUAUUUGUACUGAUUGGAACAGGAGCCUGCUUUGCAGACUUGAACCUUCCAGAACUACUCCUAUUCCACUCACGCACUUUGCCUGUAGGGUUGACUUUCUUCCCUGGCCCAGAGGCCAUCACUGAUGACUUCCUAAAAUUUGCAACCUGAGGCCCAUUUGUCCCAUUGCUACAGCUGAGAAUGUCGCUGGAAGAAGACAUUGCAACAGCAUUUGCUCUCUGCAACUCCACUUUUUUUUGGAGUAUCCUCAACUGUUCAAGUUCAAAUUUCAACCGACGUAUUAAAUCCUUUCUUUCAGAUGGUGACAUGCCUGAUAGAGAAAGGACUUGUAGAGGAACACCAAAAGUGUCCUGUUUAUUGGAAUUUAAGUUAAUGCAUUUCCUUGUCGGAGCACUUGAAUCCUCAGAUGCAGUAAUCUCUGUAUCAAUCCGUCCUGAGCUACCAGAAUCCUCCAAAUCACCCACUGUGUCAAAUGAAUUUCGAUGAAAUCCUCCAUGGAAUUUAUCAUUCUUCGCCAUCAUAUUAAUUCCAGCACUUAUCUAGUUCCUUCUAUUCGCUGGGGCAAAUCAGUUCACUUAAUACCCAACUCUGCAUAAACAAACCAUGGGAAUGACAUUACCUCCUCAUACUUUCAAAUAGUCUUAUCUAGCUGUGUGGGUUGAACAACACAUGAAGGCUCCACUGAGUUUGGAACAAAGCAUUUCACCAUUCAAGCCCCCUUUAACUAGAUUACUAUAACAAAUUCCUACUUCCACAAAGAGCACUAGGGGAAAAAAGGUUCUAUCUAACAUAUAAAACAUAUCAAAAUUUAAACGUAAAAGCCAAAUCUCUCGAAUAAUUGAACCCCCCCCUAAUGAAAAAAUAAAAGAAAAAAUAG
rnacentral:misc_RNA from 1 species